rnacentral:rRNA from 1 species
AUUGAACGCUGGCGGCGGGCUUAACACAUGCAAGUAGAGCGAGCGGCGGACGGGUGAGUAAUGUCGGGGAAACUGCCUGAUGGAGGGGGAUAACUACUGGAAACGGUAGCUAAUACCGCAUACCAUCAGAGGGGCCCAGAUGGGAUUAGCUAGUAGGUGGGGUAAUGGCUCACCUAGGCGACGAUCCCUAGCUGGCCGGAGAGGAGGACCAGCCACCUUGGAACUGAGACACGGUCAAGACUCCUACGGGAGGAAGCAGUGGGGAAUAUUGCACAAUGGGGGCAAGCUUGAUGCAGCCAGGCCGCGUGGGUGAAGAAGGCCUCCGGGUUGUAAAGCACUUUCAGCGAGGAGGCGUUACUCGCCGAAGAAGCACCGGCUAACUCCGUGCCAGCAGCCGCGGUAAUAC